AGCUUCUUCCUCUUAGAUGUUUGGUUGUCAAAUGUAAGCACAAUCUUCCCUGCUUCUACUGUUGUAUAGGUGUUGGUAAUCACUGUUUCAUCUGCUGCUGCAACCUUUCUUGAUUUCUCCACAAUGAUUGUGUAUCCACCUUCAGCACUAGGCACAAAUUCAGCUCCAUAGGACACAUCCCACCCUAUUACUCUAGCUUCCCACACCAAAGUAAUCUUCUGCAAUUUCCAAAAUUAUUGUAAACCAUGAAUACACAGAAUUGAAAUAACAGAAGAUACAAAUAGUUGCAACUGGCAUUCAGAAUAUUGACUUUAGGCUUUUCUUGAGAGGAGCCUUGGCGUAACUGGUAAAGUUGCUGCCAAGUGACUAGGAGGUCACGGGUUCAAGCCGUGGAAACAACCUCUUGCAGAAAUGCAGGGUAAGCCUGCGUAAAGUUGCUGCCAAGUGACUAGGAGGUCACGGGUUCAAGCCGUGGAAACAACCUCUUGCAGAAAUGCAGGGUAAGCCUGCGUACAAUAGACCCUUAUGGUCCGACCCUUCCCAGACCCCGCACAUAGCGGGAGCUUAGUGCACGGAGCUGCCCUUGACAGUCAACAACAACAACAACAACAUACCCAGUGUAAUCCCACGAGUGGAGUCUGGGGAGAGUUAUGCAUACGCAGACCUUACCCCUACCUUGUGAAGGUAGAGAUGCGAUAAUCCAAUUGUACUUUAACAUAGUGACUAAGAUAUGGGAUUGAGGGCAUUUGUAAAGAUCAGUUAGCUUACCUCAGUAACUGGGAAUUC
rnacentral:lncRNA from 1 species